rnacentral:rRNA from 1 species
AUAUAAGUAUUGGUCUUUCGGCGUAUCAGUAUUGUAGUGGGCUGUAAUGUACCUCCUAGCCAUCGACGCGUACGGUGAUUGGGAGACAUAGCCCGGAGAUGGAUUCGUGAGACACGAAUCCAGACCGUACGGGGUGCAGCAGGCGCGAUAACUUCACACGGCAGGAAACUGUGAUGAGGGAACUCCAAGUGCUAUCACUAUGUGGUAGCUUUUCUUGACUAUUAAUCGGUCAUGGAAUAAGGGCUGGGAAAGACCGGUGCCAGCCGCCGCGGUAAUACCGUCAGCUCAAGUGGUCGUCGCUUUUAUUGGGCCUAAUACGUCCGUAGCCUGUUUGGUAAAUCUGUGGGUAUAUCAACCAGCUUAACUGGUUGAAUUCUGCAGAGACUGCCAGACUAGGGACCGGGAGAGGUGUGGGGUACUCUAGGGGUAGGGGUAAAAUCCUGUCAUCCUUAGAGGACCACCAGUUGCGAAGGCGCCACACUGGAACGGAUCCGACGGUCAGGGACGAAGCCUAGGGGCACGAACCGUGAUUAGAUACACCGGGUAGUCCUAAGGUGUAAACGCUGUGAACUUGGUGUCGGGGAUCCGUAAUGGGUCCUCGGUGCCGGAGUGAAGAUGUUAAGUUCACUGCCUGGAGUACGGUCGCAAGGCUGAAACUCAAAUGAAUUGACGG